rnacentral:rRNA from 1 species
UACGUAGGCAGCGAGCGUUGUUCGGAAUUACUGGGCGUAAAGAGUGUGUAGGCGGUGCUCUAAGUUCGGUGUGAAAUCUCCUGGCUUAACUGGGAGGGUGCGCCGGAAACUGGAGUGCUCGAACGUGGGAGAGGAAAGCGGAAUUCCUGGUGUAGCGGUGAAAUGCGUAGAUAUCGAGAGGAACACCUGCGGCGAAGGCGGGUUGCUGGGCUGACACGGACGAUGAACUGCGAAAGAUAGGGGAGCGAACGGG